AGACGAUGAUGGGUAGCCGGCCUGAGAGGGUGAACGGCCACAAGGGGACUGAGACACGGUCCUUACUCCUACGGGAGGCAGCAGAGGGGAAUAUUGGACAAUGGACCAAAGUCUGAUCCAGCAAUUCUGUGUGCACGAUGAAGUUUUUCGGAAUGUAAAGUGCUUUCAGUUGGGAAGAAGAAAGUGACGGUACCAACAGAAGAAGCGACGGCUAAAUACGUGCCAGCAGCCGCGGUAAUACGUAUGUCGCAAGCGUUAUCCGGAUUUAUUGGGCGUAAAGCGCGUCUAGGCGGUUUGGUAAGUCUGAUGUGAAAAUGCGGGGCUCAACUCCGUAUUGCGUUGGAAACUGCCAAACUAGAGUACUGGAGAGGUAGGCGGAACUACAAGUGUAGAGGUGAAAUUCGUAGAUAUUUGUAGGAAUGCCGAUGGGGAAGCCAGCCUACUGGACAGAUACUGACGCUAAAGCGCGAAAGCGUGAGUAGCAAACAGGAUUAGAUACCCGGUGUCCACGCCGUACACGAUGAUUACUAGGU
rnacentral:rRNA from 1 species